UUCCUCUGCACAGGUUUUCCUGCAGUUUAUCUGCCAAAGGGAGUCUUGAAGAAGGCCAGGAUAAGGACAGGAUUGGAAAGACAAGCUCGGUAGACACAAGGAAAUCCUUCAACAUCAGGGGCAUAGAAAAUGUCUCACGAUAAUGGCUUUCUUUCCAAUGCCUCUUGGGCCCAGCUCUGUUUAUCUGACCUACGCAGAGGCACCAUCUUGGAUUGCGGUUCAUUCUGCUCUGUGCAAGACACUCCUUCCCCUGGGGACUACAGCAUCCCUGAGCUGCUGGCAUUGAGGAUGGCAGGGCUUUUACAAGCAGAGGUCAGAGAUUUAAAAGCUACGGUAAGAAGUGCUUUGAUAGUCAGGUCUCAGUUUCGGGAUAAAUCCUGCAGUUCUGCACACCCUGAGUCCCCCUGACUCAUUCAGGGAGCAGCUCAUUUUGUGUUUCCUAGGAUGAGCUUAGCACCCACACACACCCCAGCCAUGCUUUCAGGGUGAAGCCAAGCACCUCGCUCUGCAGAGGGAGCCCCAAGGAGCUGUGGGUGCUUGGCUUACCUGUAGGAGGCUAAGCAACAGCAAGGUCCAGCAAGGAACACAUCUUACACACACAGGAUUGGCUUGCUAGGGGCUGAGGGGAUUCUGAUGCUGCAGAGCUGCUCUACCAGGGGAGUUGCACAACCCUAAGAACCACUUCUUUUAAUAAGCUUCUUAUUCUCAGAAAGGGAAAGAAGCCAGGCCUUAUAACUGAGAUCUUUAGAAAGCUUCCAAGUCAUGGCUACUUCCCUUGCUCCUCGGGACAUCAAUCUAUAUAUCUUAUCCCUUCCUCCUUAUAUCUUAACCCUUCCACUCUCUCUCUCUCUCUCCCCCCACCUGUCUUUCACCUCGUUAGUAAACACCAAAGUCUCUUUUACAAGCAAAGGCCACCUGGCACCUGAAUCUUUUCCCAAAGUGGCAUCACAUGUUCUUCUAGGACUUCAAGCUUUAGUGUAGAAAAGGGACAGCAAUCCCCAGUGAAAACAGAUAUGACAUUUUAAAGAAGGGAAACUAGAUCAGAACAAAAGAAAA
rnacentral:lncRNA from 1 species